rnacentral:rRNA from 1 species
UACGGAGGGUGCAAGCGUUAUCCGGAUUCACUGGGUUUAAAGGGUGCGUAGGCGGGUAUGUAAGUCAGUGGUGAAAUCCUCGAGCUUAACUCGAGAACUGCCAUUGAUACUAUGUAUCUUGAAUGUCAUGGAGGUGAGCGGAAUAUGUCAUGUAGCGGUGAAAUGCUUAGAGAUUACAUGGAAUACCAAUUGCGAAGGCAGGUUACUACCAAUUUAUUGACGCUGAUGGACGAAAGCGUGGGUAGCGAACAGG